rnacentral:rRNA from 1 species
GUGGGGAAUUUUGGACAAUGUGCGAAAGCCUGAUCCAGCAAUGCCGCGUGUGUGAAGAAGGCCUUCGGGUUGUAAAGCACUUUUGGCAGGGAAGAAACAGUGCGUGCUAAUACCAUGCGCGAAUGACGGUACAUGCAGAAUAAGCACCGGCUAACUACGUGCCAGCAGCCGCGGUAAUACGUAGGGUGCAAGCGUUAAUCGGAAUUACUGGGCGUAAAGCGUGCGCAGGCGGCUUUGUAAGACGGAUGUGAAAGCACCGGGCUCAACCUGGGAAGUGCAGUCGUGACUGCAAGGCUAGAGUGGGUCAGAGGGAGUUGGAAUUCCGCGUGUAGCAGUGAAAUGCGUAGAGAUGCGGAGGAACACCGAUGGCGAAGGCAGCCUCCUGGGAUAACACUGACGCUCAGGCACGAAAGCGUGGGGAGCAAACAGGAUUAGAAACCCGUGUAGUCC